CUGCGAAUGGCUCAUUAAAUCAGUUAUCGUUUAUUUGAUAGUACCUUACUACUUGGAUAUCCGUGGUAAUUCUAGAGCUAAUACAUGCUAAAAUCCCCGACUUCGGAAGGGGUGUGUUUAUUAGAUAAAAAACCAAUGCCCUUCGGGGCUCUUUGGUGAUUCAGAAUAACUUUUCGAAUCGCAUGGCCUUGCGCCGGCGAUGGUUCAUUCAAAUUUCUGCCCUAUCAACUUUCGAUGGUAAGGUAUUGGCUUACCAUGGUUUCAACGGGUAACAGAGAAUUAGGGUUCGAUUCUGGAGAGGGAGCCGGAGGAACGGCUCCUACAUCCAAGGAAGGCAGCAGGCGCGCAAAUUACCCAAUCCCGACACGGGGAGGUAGUGACAAUAAAUACUGAUACAGGGCUCUUUUGGGUCUUGUAAUCGGAAUGAGUACAAUUUAAACCCCUUAACGAGGAACAAUUGGAGGGCAAGUCUGGUGCCAGCAGCCGCGGUAAUUCCAGCUCCAAUAGCGUAUAUUAAAGUUGUUGCAGUUAAAAAGCUCGUAGUUGAACCUUGGGCCUGGCUGGCCGGUCCGCCUCACCGCGUGUACUGGUCCGGCCGGGCCUUUCCUUCUGGAGAACCUCAUGCCCUUCACUGGGUGUGCUGGGGAACCAGGACUUUUACUUUGAGAAAAUUAGAGUGUUCAAAGCAGGCCUUUGCUCGGAUACGUUAGCAUGGAAUAAUAGAAUAGGACGUGCGGUUCUAUUUUGUUGGUUUCUAGAACCGCCGUAAUGAUUAAUAGGGACAGUCGGGGGCGUCAGUAUUCAAUUGUCAGAGGUGAAAUUCUUGGACCAAUUGAAGACUAACUACUGCGAAAGCAUUCGCCAAGGAUGUUUUCAUUAAUCAGUGAACGAAAGUUAGGGGAUCGAAGACGAUCAGAUACCGUCGUAGUCUUAACCGUAAACUAUGCCGACUAGGGAUCGGGCGA
rnacentral:rRNA from 1 species